GGAGGUGAUAUCUCAACUCCAUACUGAAAACAGAAGGCACCAGACCCAGCAAGUGUGCAGUGUGAAUAGAUAAAUGGGUGAUCAACAUUUAGUGCCCUGUUGCAGGAAAAAACCUAGGGUCUUUAACAAACUGACUGAAAACUACUGUGAGCAGAGCAGAGGAGUGAGAAGACUGUUAAGACAUGACACAGAAGAAGUAAGCAAGGUCUGGAUCACACUGGACCCUCACAGGCCUUCGAUUUUUUCAAGGAGAACCUAAAGUAUAUAUGGAAAAACAAUGGGCAAAAAUAACCAAGAUAAUUUUGAUGAAGUCAGGAGGCUUAUCCUACCAGACAUCAACACUUGCUGUGAAGAGCCCUAACCCACCCACAGUAUGCUCCUGGAGAAAGAUGAAGAGCCCUAGUGCAUGAAACACCAUAUGGAGAGAAAGGCCACAUGGAGGAGGAGUCACUGAAGCACCAGAAAUCCAGCCCCAGCCGCUCCACCACAUGAUUGCAACUGUAUGAGAGAACCCGAGCAAGGCCAAAAGAGGACUCCCACUGGAGUCAGCCCAAGGAACCACAAAGUACAAUAAAAUGGGUGCCAUGUUAAGUCACUAAGUUUUGAGGUGUUAAACAAUAAGAGAUAACAGUAACCUAUUAAUUAAUACAGUGUAAUAGUAGCACAGGGACAGACCAUGGAGACAUGGAUCAGGAAAGACAACCAGAUAAUUGACACACAUAUUUGGUAAUUGAUGUAUGACCAACUGGGUUUAAAAAUUCCUUGUCUACACGCUUGUCACUUCUAUCUCCACACAUCCAAAAUCCUUCAAUCUUCUAUAAGCUUUUUUGGAAUGCCACAGGAAAUAACCUCUCUCACCUUUGAAUACCUGUAGGAACUUUUACAAUGUGUCACAUUUUUCUUAUCUUACUAUGUUUAUUGGUAUAUCAUUUGUUUCCCCUGAGUAAAGAAUCUCUUAACUACUUUAUCAAUGACACUCACAUAAAUACCUAGCACUCACAAUAUAUUCAAUAAAACCAUUCUGAAUGAAUUGUGGGUUUUAAGACAUCCUAUACACAAGUCUGAACAUUAGUGUGUUUUAUACAGCACCUGAACCACAUGUACCAAGAGUAUACAAUAUGAAAGGUCAGGCUACAUUUGCCUGUCAACACUUAUGAUGUGAGCACAAUGAGUUAAAUUGUGUUUACUUCCUUCAACUGAAUAUCUUAAUCCUUUGUCUAUAAGGAACUGAAAACAGAAUUUCCUAAAUCCAUACCUCUAGAGACCAAUCUAUUUUUGGAGUUAUUUUUCCUAUAUUGAAUUUACUUUUCUAGUACCAUGGAAACUAGUCUGUAAUUAGUAUUGUUAGGAUCUGUAAAAAUACAACUCUAUUCACUAAGCUUUCACAUGUUCAGAAAAAUACUUUCUCUGCAUAGAGAAUGGAAAUCAAUGGCAUAAAGAGGUGUAAAAAUACAUCACCCCACCCACAUAAAAAUAUCAUUCAUCAAGGCCUAAUCAACAGAGUGCAAAUGGGGCACAGAAAGAGUUCCCUUCUUUUAUUCUUCUUUUAUAGUUCCACUAUGGUUGCAAUUUCACCGUGACACACCUAUGGAGUUUGUAAACAGUUUUCUGCACUCUAUAACCUGUAGCAGAUGUAGAAACAUGAAAAGCAACUUCUGCAGCACAAUAUUAUGUGGUCCACUCAUCCCUACCAUCAACAUCCUAAUAUUCAACACUGAAAAAACUUCAAAACUACUGAGUUGAGGAUGCCAAGUAGCAGAAUAACUAUGUUAGAGUUACAUCUUAAGUGAGUAGUAAGUGAAGUAAGUUCUAGUUUCAGCACAUAAGACAAAAAAUCAAUAGACAAAAUUGCACUUCAAAUUUCUUAGGAAAAAGAGAUCUACAAGCAUCUUAAUAAACCUCACAGUCAGUGUUUCCUUACGUAACUGCAAUACAUUAUUGUUUCCUCAUUUAAGUACCACAUGAAGCAGCUGGUUUGCUCAUCUUUAAACACUAAAAUCACCCUUAGCUGGGGAUGCCCAAAGCAUGAAGAAAUGAGACUACUGACAUAACAGCAGAAUCACAUUUCCCAUCUCACAGAUUCUCACUGCAGAACAUAUACUUGUCAGAAAACAAUGCCUCAUGAAUAUUUUCACAUUUCUGUAUGUUCAGGACUUUCUGAGCAAACAGCUUUGGUAUCUGGGUUAAAUAAGACUGCAUAAUGGACCAAAAGACAAAGCUCACCAGACAGAUAUAAAGUUUCCUCUCUCCCCAGAGCCAUAUGUUUACAAUCCAAGGUAUUUAAGAAAUAGAGACCUUUCCUUCUUUUCCAGAGAGAGGAUCUGUUUACAUUCCAGAGCAAACAUUUCUUAUUUCUAUCUCCAGAAAGGCAAAUGGACCAAAGUGCCAGCUAUCAAUGUAAGCUCCAAGUUUCAUAAUUUCAGAAUUCCUUCCUUGUGGUGCAAACCCCACUGUACACAUCGGAUAUUUUUGGUUCUCACUGCAAUACCCUAUAGAGAAUUGAUACAUAGGGAACCAAUACAACUCACUUUCUAAGUAAAUAAAAGGUAUGAUUUCAGAUCCAGAGACUUCAUUUUUCUGUUAAGAGUAUGUGUGUGUAUGUGUGUGUGUGUGUCUGUUAACUGUGGCAAGUUGACUUCUUAGCUUAUAAGUACAGUAACACCUCAGAAUCUUCAGUUUCACUCAACAAUACUAUUUUUGCAAGCAUAUUCAGUCAAAUUCCUGAAAGUAAACUGUACAUGUAAUGUUAAUCCAACAUAUGAUGUAUUUUUUCAUCAUUCAACCAAUUUUACACACCUAACUCUGGGACUGGAUAAUCUACACAGUUAAAAUCCAGUACUUGGAUAACAGCAGCAAUGAAAAAUUACUAUGUUAACUUUUCAUUUCAAAUCCUCUCUUCAAACAACAAUGAUUUCCUGGUAUAAGCGGAGAUAUUAUGACAGAAUGUACAGACAAGUAAGGCUGAAACUUUUAUUUGUUUUAGUUUAAGGAAAAUGAAACUUUGGUAGGGAGUGGGAACAGAAAAAUUAUCAUGGCUCUUUUUUCAAAUGGUUACAUACAUAAUAUGUACUUCUAUGUAAGAAAUAUUUUAAGCUGGAAAUAUCUGUAAGUUAAACUUGAAACUGCAAGCAGUAUUAAAAAGAUGGGGGAAAUAACAUUUUCAUUGGUUUAAUUCAUUUUACUAAUGACUGAAAGUUUCACUGAUAGGUAUGUGUUGAUAGCACAUAUUCCUAUAAACUUUAAUAGCUACAUUUUGACAAAUUCUUAAUCAGCAGAAAACCCAGUCUAUUUCCAAAAGAAACCACACUUAGUAAGUCAACUGAACUUGGUAAAUAUUAUACCAAGUAUUUGAACUGAAAAUGUGGAAUCCAUAUGUGUGAUCUUACUUGUUAACAAUUUGUUAACAAAAUAUUUUCAAUGUUGCUAUCCAAAGGAGGCAAAUACAAUUAUGUGUCUUCUCCUGUCUCCUUUAUCUUUACUUUUAAACCUUAAGUCUUCUAAAUAUAUUACAAUUUCAAUAUGUUAUGCCAAAGGUUUAAUUCUACCUAAAACUGAAGCUAAAUUUUUUAAUAAAUAUAAUUACAGAAAAGGCAUCUAUUAUUUUUACUUUCUCAAUUUCACAAUCUUAUAUAAGGUUAGUUCCUACAUUAAAAAAGAGUAUAUUACAUAUGGCAUGUUAUUCUAACUUGCUUUCUCCAUUUCACAAUUUAAUAUAAGGUUAGUUUCUAUGAUAAAAGGAACACUGCAUCUAAAAAAAACUGAUUAUUAGAGCACCAAAAAUAUUAUCAAUACAGUCUCUUGUAUGAGAGGUACUGUCACAAUAUUCCUUGUAGUUACAAAGUUUCCUGUUUGUAAAAAUUUCUCUGUCCACUAUCUCAAUCCUGACAACACUACCCUCAGAUCACCAGGAAAGUAUUACUUUCUACUUGCACAGAUUAUGGUCUGUCUUCCCUGAAGUUUCUUACAACAUCU